rnacentral:lncRNA from 1 species
GGAGGGGCCUGGAGGGGGGCGUGGCCUGGAGGGGGCGGGGAUUCGUGGUGGGCGCCUGGGUGGGGGCGUGGCCUGUGUGGUCUGACGAUGGAUCUGAUUGGGUGAUGCCUGGGUGUGGGCGUGGCCUAAGUGUGGGCGCCGUCUGAUUGGGCGUUGCCAAGGAUGGGCGGGGCCUGUGGGGUGGGCGUGGUCAGGUUAGGGGCGUGGUCUAAAAAGGGGGCGGGGGCUUGAAGGGGGCGUGGCCUAGGGGACGUGCUGUGAUUGGUGGGUGCGUUUUGGGGUAAUUUUGUGGGGAUUUGGGGUUUUUUGUUCCCCUGCAGGACACGAAGAGCGGCAGAACGGCGCUGCUGAGGGCCGUGGAGAGCAACAGCCUGGAGAUGGCGGAGCUGCUGCUCAGGGUGGGGCAUUUUGGGGCAAAAUCCGGGGAAAUUGGGGCUUUGGGGUCAGUUUGGGGUGAAAUUGGGGCUUUUUGGGGUCAUGUUGGGGUGAAAUUGGGAUUUUUUGGGGUCAUUUUGGGCUGAAAUUGGGGCUUUUUGGGGUCAGUUUGGGGUGUAAUUGGGAUUUUUUGGGGUCAUUUUGGGGUGGAAAUUCGGGCUUUUUGGGGUCAUUUUGGGGUGGAUUUGGGGCUUUUUGGGGUCAGUUUGGGGUGAAAUUGGGUCUUCUUGGGCUCCCUCACUACCCUCCUCUAUUCCCCAUUGCCCCAUACCGACCCCCAUUGACCCCAAUGACCCCCAUUGAUCCCCAUUGAACCCCGUUGCCCCAUACCGACCCCCAUUGACCCCCAUUGACCCCAUUGACCCCCAUUGCCCCUUACCGACCCCCAUUGACCCUCAUUGAC